rnacentral:rRNA from 1 species
ACGCUCGACACCUACGGGGGCAGCAGUGAGGAAUAUUGGUCAAUGGGCGCUAGCCUGAACCAGCCAAGUAGCGUGAAGGAUGAAGGCUCUAUGGGUCGUAAACUUCUUUUAUAUAAGAAUAAAGUGCAGUAUGUAUACUGUUUUGUAUGUAUUAUAUGAAUAAGGAUCGGCUAACUCCGUGCCGGCAGCCGCGGUAAUCUGAGCGGGCUGGCAAGGC